CACCGCGGUUAUACGAGAGGCCCAAGUUGACAGAUAAUCGGCGUAAAGAGUGGUUAAGUACUACCCCCACUAAAGCCAAACACCUUCAAAGCUGUUAUACGCACCCGAAGGUCAGAAGCCCAAUCACGAAAGUGGCUUUAAACCAACUGAACCCACGAAAGCUAGGGCA
rnacentral:rRNA from 1 species